GAAGAAUAUCAAAAUGUCAAAAUGUCCAAGGAAUGUCCAAGGAUAGAGGUGACAAGAAAUAAAAUAAAAUAAAUGAUGAACUUUGUACCAUCGUGAGUCAAAAUAAACUAAAUCUUAACAGUUACCUUGAUUCAAUUUAAUUCAGAAUGAAUGAACAAUGACAGCAUGAAAUGAACGACUGAACAAUGAAAUAAUUAAUUAAAGAUAUUAAGAAGAAUGAGGUAAAUAAUAAAUAAUAAGCGUAAAGUAAAAGUGAAGGCCGUAACCAACCUAAUGUAAAUAAUGUAAUGUAAUGCACUGUAAUAUAAGUAAUGCAAUAUAAUGCAAAACAGAAUGCAAUAAUAAACUGAAUACAAAAUACAAAAUA